CAACUCCUUUAGAAGGCAAAUAGUACUCUAAGGUUGACUGAGAUCAUUCAGAAAGAUUCUCUGCCAUGGAAUGCUCCAACAUUAAGUAUUUUAUAGUAUAUUGGAAUGACUUCAAGUGUUAGCAUCACCAUAACUACUAAGAAGCAAGUUUCCACAGCUCCAAAGUAUUUGCUAAAAUAGAUUCAUCCACGCUACUGCUUUACACACAUUUCCUUGUGAUCUUCAUUAUUUUUAGAUCUUUUUUCCUACUUUCAGCACACUGGACCAUGAAGCAGCAAAUGAAGAUGAAAUGCAGCCCAGGCCAGGGGGAUUACUUUACAGCAUCAGUCACCUCUCUGCUUUAACGACAGACUCACAGACUACCUAAAUAGAUCAUGCCUGUGAGAUUCACAAGUCCUUCUGUGAGUGAUCCUGCCACAGGUGGCAUGACAAGGAAUAAAACAGAC